UACGGGGGGGGCAAGCGUUGUUCGGAAUUACGGGGCGUAAAGGGCUCGUAGGCGGCCAACUAAGUCAUACGUGAAAUCCCUCGGCUUAACCGGGGAACUGCGUCUGAUACUGGAUGGCUUGAGUUCGGGAGAGGGAUGCGGAAUUCCAGGUGUAGCGGUGAAAUGCGUAGAUAUCUGGAGGAACACCGGUGGCGAAGGCGGCAUCCUGGACCGGCAUUGACGCUGAGGCGCGAAAGCCAGGGGAGCAAACGGG
rnacentral:rRNA from 1 species